rnacentral:rRNA from 1 species
AUUGAACGCUGGCGGCAUGCCUUACACAUGCAAGUCGAACGGCAGCACGGGUGCUUGCACCUGGUGGCGAGUGGCGAACGGGUGAGUAAUACAUCGGAACAUGUCCUGUAGUGGGGGAUAGCCCGGCGAAAGCCGGAUUAAUACCGCAUACGAUCUACGGAUGAAAGCGGGGGACCUUCGGGCCUCGCGCUAUAGGGUUGGCCGAUAGCUGAUUAGCUAGUUGGUGGGGGAAAGGCCUACCAAGGCGACGAUCAGUAGCUGGUCCGAGAGGACGACCAGCCCCACCGGGACCUGGGACCGGCCCCCGCCCCCUCCGGGGGGCCGCGGGGGGAAUUUUUGGACAUGGGGCGAAAGCCUGUUCCAGCAAUGCCGCGUGUGUGAAGAAGGCCUUGGGUUUGUAAAGCCCUUUUGCCCGGAAAAAAACCCUUGGCUUUAAUCCGGGGGGGGGUUGCCGUUCCCGGAAAAAAAAGCCCCGGCAACCUCCGU